UCACAGCUUAGUUGGCAGAACAUGAGACUCUUAAUCUUAGGGGCAUGGGUUCGAGUCCCACACUGGGCAAAA